GGAGGAUUGGCCGAGUGGCAAGGCACUUCCCUGCUAAGGAUAGGUUUCCUUAUGGAACACAGGUUCGAUUCCUGUAUCCUCCG
rnacentral:tRNA from 1 species